GCUUCCUUGGUAAGGAAGAGGUCACCGGUUCAAUCCCGGUCGUGGGCU
rnacentral:tRNA from 1 species